AGGACGAACGCUGGCGGCACGCCUAACACAUGCAAGUCGAACGGAGAUUUGAGAGCUUGCUCUUAAAUCUAGUGGCGGACGGGUGAGUAACACGUGAGCAACCUGCCUCUGAGAGAGGGAUAGCUUCUGGAAACGGAUGGUAAUACCUCAUAACAUAGCUGGACCGCAUGAUCCGGUUAUCAAAGAUUUAUCACUCAGAGAUGGGCUCGCGUCUGAUUAGCUAGUUGGUGAGGUAACGGCCCACCAAGGCGACGAUCAGUAGCCGGACUGAGAGGUUGAACGGCCACAUUGGGACUGAGACACGGCCCAGACUCCUACGGGAGGCAGCAGUGAGGGAUAUUGCACAAUGGAGGAAACUCUGAUGCAGCGAUGCCGCGUGGAGGAAGAAGGUUUUCGGAUUGUAAACUCCUGUUUCGAGGGACGAUAAUGACGGUACCUCGGGAGGAAGCUCCGGCUAACUACGUGCCAGCCGCCGC
rnacentral:rRNA from 1 species